rnacentral:hammerhead_ribozyme from 1 species
AUCCAUCUGACGAGUCCCAGGUGGAGCGAAACACGCGUCCUGAAU